AGCUGGAGAAGCCUGUAAACGACGAGGAGGAGGAGGAGGACGAGGAUGAUGAGGACGGGUUCGGAGCCAGGAAGAAGGAGGAGGAGGAUGAUGACGACCCUGUAGCCCAGGCCCAGAAGCUGGCGGAAAAGUCGAUUGCAGACGCCAAAAAGAUUGCUGAGGAUAAGUGUGUGCUUCAAUAAAUACAGGUUGGAGAAAAUGAGCGAAGUACUUAAUAU